CCCGCGGCCCGAGCAGGCGAUGCUGGGAGAUGUAGUCGCCUGGGGCCGGGAGGGGACAUGAUGGGGUGCUGGGCUGAUCUAACUCUUCAACUAUGAAUGUCAUGGCAUAGGCUGGGCCCCCCAUAACCAUCCUCCUUGUGUGAUGGCAUGCAGCACAUUCUGUCGGCUCCCCCAAACCGCAUCCAAGGCACACAUCAGCUCAUGUCUUUCCUCCUGUCCGUCCAUCCAUCCCCACAUCACCCAGUACCUCGACCACGAUCUUUCCUUGGGAACCCCAAAUGCCCCCAACUCAAGUUACUAUUGCUGCUUAUUGACCCUCAAGCUUAGUGGUUUCAGACAGCCGGGAUGCUCACUGUCAGGAACAUGGACGCGAUAUAGACGAUGCAGUCUGCUGAUCUCUACUCAGUCGAGAACACAGCAAGGAUAGGUGUAUCUCGAAAAUAAUCUGGAGUCAUGGAUCUCAGGUCUUGAGGCUGGAAGCAGCUGCAGGAAAGAAUUCCCUUCUGCCGCCUAUGAGUGAGCCGUCUUGACGUCUUGACAGCUGAGUCAGGAACAAAUCUCCCUGCAGCUGGCACUGGUUGAGUCAUUGAGGUUGGCUUGGGGCAGAAGCCUCAGGCAUUAGAGUUGCUGACUAGUCUGUCCAGACUCCAGCCAAUCGGCAGAAUGAUGUCAGCUGAUACAGACUCACAUGGAGUUUUGCUAAGGCAGUCAUGUGCUGAGUCAAGACCUGUGGAGGACACAUGGUGUUUGGAGGGAGUAUAAAUAGGACUCAAAUGGACAGUGAUGGAGACUUGCGUGCAUAGCUAGUUUUGCAAGGCUUCUUGGUCUUGAGUCUUCGCUGAUCUUCACUUUGUUGAGAGAGGCAUGGCAGAGAACUUCUCCUGGUGUCCCUGGUGGUCCUGGUUCCUUCUGCUGACUUGUGUUGAGCUGAUUCGGCUGAGGUCUGGCUGUUUCUGCUAGGUUGUACCACUGCUGCUGAUUCCUGUUUGCUAUCCCAACACUACUGAAGUUGACUGCUGAUAGAUUCUCACAGUGUUUGUGAGCAGACUGGGCAGCCACUGCUGAUUUCUGUGAACUGAACUGCUGAUUUUCUGACAGUACAGAUGUGAUUUGCUCCAAAGAACAAUUUCUAAACAGGUCCACACCCUACGUGCCCUGUAGCCUAAUAACCUUUCUUUUUCACUACCUCUGGAGGGUGGGUGGUACGCUAGAAGGCUGGUUAAAGUAUCUAAAAACCCAUAUUAAAAGUAGGGUUGAGAAAAAAAUCAAAGCUACAAUGGCCACACUAGGAUCAAGCUUUGUAGCACAUAAGCAGAUGAUGGACAUAGUCGAUCCAUAUCCAAACCAUACCCACCACAGACAUCUCUGUUCCAAAGUAGCCUAUGUGGCAUCUGGGGCUUAUUGUUAUCACAUUGCUUCAUUCCUUCAAUCCAUCACCACACACACAGGCACGCAGACUCUGUCUCUGUCUCUGCCUCUGUCUUUGUCUCUGUCUCUGCCUCU